CCACGGGCGGCAGCAGUGGGGAAUAUUGGACAAUGGGCGAAAGCCUGAUCCAGCCAUGCCGCGUGUGUGAAGAAGGCCUUCGGGUUGUAAAGCACUUUCAGUGGGGAAGAAAGCCUUGGGGCUAAUACCCUCGAGGAAGGACAUCACCCACAGAAGAAGCACCGGCUAACUCCGUGCCAGCAGCCGCGGUAAUACGGAGGGUGCGAGCGUUAAUCGGAAUUACUGGGCGUAAAGCGCGCGUAGGCGGUCUGAUAAGCCGGUUGUGAAAGCCCCGGGCUCAACCUGGGAACGGCAUCCGGAACUGUCAGGCUAGAGUGCAGGAGAGGAAGGUAGAAUUCCCGGUGUAGCGGUGAAAUGCGUAGAGAUCGGGAGGAAUACCAGUGGCGAAGGCGGCCUUCUGGACUGACACUGACGCUGAGGUGCGAAAGCGUGGGUAGCAAACAGGAUUAGAUACCCCAGUAGUC
rnacentral:rRNA from 1 species